rnacentral:rRNA from 1 species
CCUACGGGUGGCUGCAGUGGGGAAUAUUGCACAAUGGGCGCAAGCCUGAUGCAGCCAUGCCGCGUGUGUGAAGAAGGCCUUCGGGUUGUAAAGCACUUUCAGCGGGGAGGAAGGCGGUGAGGUUAAUAACCUCAUCGAUUGACGUUACCCGCAGAAGAAGCACCGGCUAACUCCGUGCCAGCAGCCGCGGUAAUACGGAGGGUGCAAGCGUUAAUCAGAAUUACUGGGCGUAAAGCGCACGCAGGCGGUCUGUCAAGUCGGAUGUGAAAUCCCCGGGCUCAACCUGGGAACUGCAUUCGAAACUGGCAGGCUAGAGUCUUGUAGAGGGGGGUAGAAUGCCAGGUGUAGCGGUGAAAUGCGUAGAGAUCUGGAGGAAUACCGGUGGCGAAGGCGGCCCCCUGGACAAAGACUGACGCUCAGGUGCGAAAGCGUGGGGAGCAAACAGGAUUAGAUACCCCGGUAGUC